rnacentral:rRNA from 1 species
AGUGAACGCUGGCGGUAGGCCUAACACAUGCAAGUCGAACGGCAGCACAGUAAGAGCUUGCUCUUACGGGUGGCGAGUGGCGGACGGGUGAGGAAUACAUCUGAAUCUACUUUUUCGUGGGGGAUAACGUAGGGAAACUUACGCUAAUACCGCAUACGACCUACGGGUGAAAGCAGGGGAUCUUCGGACCUUGCGCGAUUGAAUGAGCCGAUGUCGGAUUAGCUAGUUGGCGGGGUAAAGGCCCACCAAGGCGACGAUCCGUAGCUGGUCUGAGAGGAUGAUCAGCCACACUGGAACUGAGACACGGUCCAGACUCCUACGGGAGGCAGCAGUGGGGAAUAUUGGACAAUGGGCGCAAGCCUGAUCCAGCCAUACCGCGUGGGUGAAGAAGGCCUUCGGGUUGUAAAGCCCUUUUGUUGGGAAAGAAAAGCAGCAGGUUAAUACCCCGCUGUUCUGACGGUACCCAAAGAAUAAGCACCGGCUAACUUCAUG